GACGAACGCUGGCGGCGUGCUUAACACAUGCAAGUCGAACGCUGAAGCUCAGCUUUUGUUGGGUGGAUGAGUGGCGAACGGGUGAGUAACACGUGAGUAACCUGCCUCCUUCUUUGGGAUAACGCCCGGAAACGGGUGCUAAUACUGGAUAUUCACUGGUCUUCGCAUGGGGGUUGGUGGAAAGGGUUUUUCUGGUGGGGGAUGGGCUCGCGGCCUAUCAGCUUGUUGGUGGGGUGAUGGCCUACCAAGGCUUUGACGGGUAGCCGGCCUGAGAGGGUGACCGGUCACAUUGGGACUGAGAUACGGCCCAGACUCCUACGGGAGGCAGCAGUGGGGAAUAUUGCACAAUGGGCGCAAGCCUGAUGCAGCGACGCAGCGUGAGGGAUGGAGGCCUUCGGGUUGUGAACCUCUUUCGCUCAUGGUCAAGCCGCAACAAUGGUUGUGGUGAGGGUAGUGGGUAAAGAAGCGCCGGCUAACUACGUG
rnacentral:rRNA from 1 species